rnacentral:snoRNA from 1 species
AUUCCAUGGUUUGGAUAUAUUCUCAUGGACUCAUUAAAUCUAUUCCAUACCGCAUGAUAGCUUUCUCCUUCUUUCUAUUGAAAAGUUUGAAUUUCCAUUCUGAUUUU